AACUAAAUAAUAAAUGUCAGUGGCAGGCAUUGUAAAUAAGUCCCAACUCCAGGAUUUAUUUCACAAAAUUGCUGCAAAAAUGUAUAUGUAAAUAAUAGAUAAAUAUAAUUUGCAGACUUUUAUAUAUAUUAAUU
rnacentral:sRNA from 1 species